CCAAAUCAUGGCUGACACCGACAGCAAGAAGAUCGAUCUACCAGACGGGCUAUGCGUUGAAAUAUCUCCUGACGGUUGUACAUACCACGAUGGUCUUUGCUUCCAUUGUUUGGUAACUGACGUCUACUACCCCACUAUGGAUGACUGCAAGAGCAAUUGCAACAAAUCCUCGUCUUUACAAGACGUGCUAGUUGCCAUGACAACCUCCCCUCCUCCUCCUUUAUCUGCUCCUUAAUUUUCCGGCCUAGACAAUGGUUAUAUGUACAAGAUUGUCCCCUGAAAAUAAUGCCUAUGUGCGGAAACCAGUUAUGCAAUGCGAGUAAUAUACUGCAGCAGUUGUUGCUGAGUAUUUUGGUUUGGCAAAUCACAUUUGAACCUUUACUAGGAAUUGUUGGGAGAGCGAUGAAAUGACUCGCAAGCGCAGAUGCUCCGGAAAUCCGAGUGGUACAGCUUAGCUUGGGAUCUGUGUCGGUUAAAUCUGUGUCACAUAUACGUUUUAGAAUACAGAGGUGAAUACAUCUGCAGAUGGGCUAUACUGGACCAUAGUACUAACUCCUCGCAAAGUCGCAAGUCUCCUCUCUUCAAGUCCAUCGAUGUCCCAUGCAAAAUAAAAUGAAAUAAGUCCAUCGAUCUCUCACUUAAAAAGAGUCCUAUGGCUAUGGAUGACCAGGGAGGCCGCCCUUGGCCAAUAUCCGGCGCCGGUGAGUUCGUCUACCCUGUCAUGGUGGGUUUCUCAUCUAUCCUACCUCUCAUGAGGCGUCCGGUUCUUGUCUUUCCCAAGCUCACAUUAAUAUUCCCAAAUCAGCCCUCGGCCGGCCUUGGCGACAUCAUCUUCAUCCACUCCCGUGCUGCACACACCCAUUUCUCUGAUCUCUUAAAGCAACUCUAGCCGAGCCCAUAAAAGAUACAGGAGUAUUUGGCCGGGUAAACCUUAAUGGAGUAAAUUUAGUCCACUAAGUUUUGGUCGGUUCUAGCUGAUCCCCUAAAUUUAGCGGAGUAAAAUAAAAUUUGGUUAAGAUGAACAUAGAUUCGAUCUAAAUAAACUUCUAAACCGAAAUUCGACACGUAAUUUACAUUAUCAUCCGUCGAAACAUAGUUCAAAGUGAUACUAAAACUUGAACUCAAACAUAAGCUAAAAUCUAAAUCUAACCAAAAAAAUUAGUCGCUAUUCGACUUUGCGAGGGAGAGCAAGUCCUCCCUAGAGAUUCCACCGCCCAUGGGGUCAGUCCCUAGGUCGUCUUCGUUGUAUCCAGGAAGGUCCUUCACCACUCCUCGAUGUUGAAGCUGUCAUCGUUGCCGCCUCCACUGCCACCAUUGUUGCCGCCUCCACCGAGCCAGCUCGUCAUCGACCAGCGCCCACGUGCAUCUAGGGAUCAUACAUUCAACAGGGGGUGACUCCAUGAGUCAGGUGAUCCACAAAAACCGCAUGACCUAGAGUCCGCCAUAUGGCUGUGUGCCCCAACAUCAUUUGUUGGUAAAGAAUGUAUGGAUAGAUGCCAAAGGAACAGCCUCACGUUUCCCGGCACCAGAACUUUCCAUAAACUUUUCCAUGAGCCCUCUUCAGCAGCCGAGGUGGAGGAACCAUCCCUUUGAUCUAAGCAUGACUAUUGGAGAAUUAAUUACAAUUCUGAAAUAUACAAAUAUAGACAUAGGAGAUAAGUCCAACCAAAUUUGGGAACUUGUCUAAAAAGGGAGAAAAUUAGUCUGACUUGAUUUGUGCUUUUAAUGAGGGUUCAUAAUAUAGGAUGAUAUUAAAUAAAUCCAAUUUUAUUGCUUGAUGGUUUACACGGGAUAAGGAUGACCGGUUCUCUCUUCUCUCAAUAUAUACGAUCGACUCAUGUGCUCAUUGGUAACCAAACAUUUCUCAUCGACAACCAAAGUGACCUGAGAGCUUGCGUAGCUACUGUUGUAUCUGGUUGGCCAUGGACAAGUACACGAUUCGCAUCCUUGCACUAGGAGCCCUAGUGUGUCUACAUCUCGUAUGCUCUGCUACUGUUGCUCAAUGUAAGGCAGCUAGCACACCCAUAUUUAUGUAUCUUCACAAUGCUUAAUUUUUCUUCACUUGUCCUGGCUGGAAGUAUGUACCUAGUAUAGCUAUCAAAGGCCUUUCUAUUUUGCUUCGUAACUGGUUCCAUCGUUUAUAUGCAUAUAUAUACAUACACACUACUCUAAAAUAAUUGCAUAACGAUGGUUGUUCGUUUGUUAUUAUUCCAUAAUAUACAGGCCAAAUCAUGGCUGACACCGACAGCAAGAAGAUCGAUCUACCAGACGGGCUAUGCGUUGAAAUAUCUCCUGACGGUUGUACAUACCACGAUGGUCUUUGCUUCCAUUGUUUGGUAACUGACGUCUACUACCCCACUAUGGAUGACUGCAAGAGCAAUUGCAACAAAUCCUCGUCUUUACAAGACGUGCUAGUUGCCAUGACAACCUCCCCUCCUCCUCCUUUAUCUGCUCCUUAAUUUUCCGGCCUAGACAAUGGUUAUAUGUACAAGAUUGUCCCCUGAAAAUAAUGCCUAUGUGCGGAAACCAGUUAUGCAAUGCGAGUAAUAUACUGCAGCAGUUGUUGCUGAGUAUUUUGGUUUGGCAAAUCACAUUUGAACCUUUACUAGGAAUUGUUGGGAGAGCGAUGAAAUGACUCGCAAGCGCAGAUGCUCCGGAAAUCCGAGUGGUACAGCUUAGCUUGGGAUCUGUGUCGGUUAAAUCUGUGUCACAUAUACGUUUUAGAAUACAGAGGUGAAUACAUCUGCAGAUGGGCUAUACUGGACCAUAGUACUAACUCCUCGCAAAGUCGCAAGUCUCCUCUCUUCAAGUCCAUCGAUGUCCCAUGCAAAAUAAAAUGAAAUAAGUCCAUCGAUCUCUCACUUAAAAAGAGUCCUAUGGCUGUGGAUGACCAGGGAGGCCGCCCUUGGCCAAUAUCCGGCACCGGUGAGUUCGUAUACCCUGUCAUGGUGGGUUUCUCAUCUAUCCUACCUCUCAUGAGGCGUCCGGUUCUUGUCUUUCCCAAGCUCACAUUAAUAUUCCCAAAUCAGCCAUCGGCCGGCCUUGGCGACAUCAUCUUCAUCCACUCCCGUGCUGCACACACCCAUUUCUCUGAUCUCUUAAAGCAACUCUAGCCGAGCCCAUAAAAGAUACAGGAGUAUUUGGCCGGGUAAACCUUAAUGGAGUAAAUUUAGUCCACUAAGUUUUGGUCGGUUCUAGCUGAUCCCCUAAAUUUAGCGGAGUAAAAUAAAAUUUGGUUAAGAUGAACAUAGAUUCGAUCUAAACAAACUUCUAAACUGAAAUUCGACACGUAAUUUACAUUAUCAUCCGUCGAAACAUAGUUCAAAGCGAUACUAAAACUUGAACUCAAACAUAAGCUAAAAUCUAAAUCUAACCAAAAAAAUUAGUCGCUAUUCGACUUUGCGAGGGAGAGCAAGUCCUCCCUAGAGAUUCCACCGCCCAUGGGGUCAGUCCCUAGGUCGUCUUUGUUGUAUCCAGGAAGGUCCUUCACCACUUAUCGAUGUUGAAGCUGUCAUCGUUGCCGCCUCCACUGCCACCAUUGUUGCCGCCUCCACCGAGCCAGCUCGUCAUCGACCAGCGCCCACGUGCAUCUAGGGAUCAUACAUUCAACAGGGGGUGACUCCAUGAGUCAGGUGAUCCACAAAAACCGCAUGAGCUAGAGUCCACCAUAUGGCUGUGUGCCCAAUAUCAUUUGUUGCUAAAGAAUGUAUGGAUAGAUGCCAAAGGAACAGCCUCACGUUUCCCGGCACUAGAACUUUCCAUAAACUUUUCCAUGAGCCCUCUUCAGCAGCCGAGGUGGAGGAACCAUCCCUUUGAUCUAAGCAUGACUAUUGGAGAAUUAAUUACAAUUAUGAAAUAUACAAAUAUAGACAUAGGAGAUAAGUCCAACCAAAUUUGGGAACUUGUCUAAAAAGGGAGAAAAUUAGUCUGACUUGAUUUGUGCUUUUAAUGAGGGUUCAUAUUAUAGGAUGAUAUUAAAUAAAUCCAAUUUUAUUGCUUGAUGGUUUACACGGGAUAAGGAUGACCAGUUCUCUCUUCUCUCAAUAUAUACGAUCGAUUCAUGUGCUCAUUGGUAACCAAACAUUUCUCAUCGACAACCAAAGUGACCUGAGAGCUUGCGUAGCUAGUGUUGUAUCUGGUUGGCCAUGGACAAGUACACGAUUCGCAUCCUUGCACUAGGAGCCCUAGUGUGUCUACAUCUCGUAUGCUCUGCUACUGUUGCUCAAUGUAAGGCAGCUAGCACACCGAUAUUUAUGUAUCUUCACAAUGCUUAAUUUUUCUUCACUUGUCCUGGCUGGAAGUAUGUACCUAGUAUAGCUAUCAAAGGCCUUUCUAUUUUGCUUUGUAACUGGUUCCAUCGUUUAUAUGCAUAUAUAUACAUACACACUACUCUAAAAUAAUUGCAUAACGAUGGUUGUUCGUUUGUUAUUAUUCCAUAAUAUAUAGGCCAAAUCAUGGCUGACACCGAUAGCAAGAAGAUCGAUCUACCAGACGGGCUAUGCGUUAAAAUAUCUCCUGAUGGUUGUACAUACCACGAUGGUCUUUGCUUCCAUUGUUUGGUAACUGACGUCUACUACCACACUAUGGAUGACUGCAAGAGCAAUUGUAACAAAUCCUCGUCUUUACAAGACGUGCUAGUUGCCAUGACAACCUCCCCUCCUCCUCCUUUAUCUGCUCCUUAAUUUUCCGGCCUAGACAAUGGUUAUAUGUACAAGAUUGUCCCCUGAAAAUAAUGCGUAUGUGCGGAAACCAGUUAUGCAAUGCGAGUAAUAUACUGCAGCAGUUGUUGCUGAGUAUUUUGGUUUGGCAGAUCACAUUUGAACCUUUACUAGCAAUUGUUGGGAGAGCGAUGAAAUGACUCGCAAGCGCAGAUGCUCCGGAAAUCUGAGUGGUACAACUUAGCUUGGGAUCUGUGUCAGUUAACUCUUUGUCACAUAUACGUUUUAGAAUACAGAGGUGAAUACAUUUGCAGAUGGGCCAUACUGGACCAUAGUACUCAGUACUCGCAAAGUCACAAGUCUCCUCUCUUCAAGUCCAUCGAUGUCCCAUGCAAAAUAAAAUGAAAUAAGUUCAUCGAUCUCUCGCUUAAAAAGAGUCCUAUGGCUGUGGAUGACCAAGGAGGCCGCCCUUGGCCAAUAUCCGGCACCAGUGAGUUCUUCUACCCUGUCAUGGUGGGUUUCGCAU
rnacentral:lncRNA from 1 species